rnacentral:tRNA from 1 species
CGAGGUGUAGCGCAGCCUGGUAGCGCGCUCGUCUGGGGGACGAGAAGUCGCUGGUUCGAAUCCAGUCACCUCGACCA